rnacentral:rRNA from 1 species
CAGGUCUUGACAUCCUCUGACAACCCUAGAGAUAGGGCUUUCCCUUCGGGGACAGAGUGACAGGUGGUGCAUGGUUGUCGUCAGCUCGUGUCGUGAGAUGUUGGGUUAAGUCCCGCAACGAGCGCAACCCUUGAUCUUAGUUGCCAGCAUUCAGUUGGGCACUCUAAGGUGACUGCCGGUGACAAACCGGAGGAAGGUGGGGAUGACGUCAAAUCAUCAUGCCCCUUAUGACCUGGGCUACACACGUGCUACAAUGGACAGAACAAAGGGCUGCGAGACCGCAAGGUUUAGCCAAUCCCACAAAUCUGUUCUCAGUUCGGAUCGCAGUCUGCAACUCGACUGCGUGAAGCUGGAAUCGCUAGUAAUCGCGGAUCAGCAUGCCGCGGUGAAUACGUUCCCGGGCCUUGUACACACCGCCCGUCACACCACGAGAGUUUGCAACACCCGAAGUCGGUGAGGUAACCUUUAUGGAGCCAGCCGCCGAAGGUGGGGCAGAUGAUUGGGGUG